AGCGUGUCAGAACCAUUUGAAUAUUGCCAUUUCCUUCAGUCUAAAAUCGCGUGUGGCUUAAGGCAAAUGAGUCUGUGCUUUUGGUAUUACUUUAACGUCUGUUGGGCGCGCAUUUUCCUGUACGGCUUGCUAAAGGGAAUAGAGGAUUGUAAAUGAUAAUGUGACCUAACUUGGCUUUUACCAUUUGUUAAUAUUAUUUGUGCUUUGAAUAGUUAUAAUUAUUGUGGUUUUUAAUUCGUUAACGCAUAUCGAAGCUGUUUUGUUUCAUGUCGAAAUGUCAAAUAAACGCAAAGGACGUCCAGUGCAUGAUUUAUUAAUGUUUCAACUUUGGCCCAUGCGUGGAGUGUGGCGCAAAUUCCAACUUUAGGAGAAUGGAAAUCAACUAACUGCAAUCUCGAGGAUUUCGUGCCACCUAGUACUUAGUCAUUGUAAUGAGCAUAGCCUACUUUAAAUGGAUAAUACAUUUUGCGCUCUUAAUCACUCCGACGAAAGUUCGACGGAACAAAGCAGGGCAAUAACAGCAGACAGUCUGUACUUGAGAAACUGAUUAAUUUCAAGUUAGAUGUAAUUUUUAUCACUCACGGUACUUUUUUAGGAUCAGAUGGAAAAUCGGGAAAAAUUGGUAGGGAAUGCGAAUAGCCUAAUGCUGUCAUAGUUAUUUUUAAGGUAUGCAGCGAUUUCUAUAUUUUACUUGUUCAAAAUAAAAUUAAAAGUUGGCUGAAUUGGCCUUCGGGUGAUGAUCAAUUGUAAAUUGAAAACAAAGAAAUAAAUGAGAUAAAAAAAUACUUGGAAGAGAAAAACUGGAA